rnacentral:rRNA from 1 species
UACGAAGGGGGCUAGCGUUGCUCGGAAUCACUGGGCGUAAAGCGCACGUAGGCGGAUCUUUAAGUCAGGGGUGAAAUCCCAAGGCUCAACCUUGGAACUGCCCUUGAUACUGGGGAUCUCGAGUCCGGAAGAGGUUGGUGGAACUCCGAGUGUAGAGGUGAAAUUCGUAGAUAUUCGGAAGAACACCUGUGGCGAAGGCGGCCACCUGGGCCGACCCUGACGCUGAGGCGCGAAGGCGUGGGGAGCGAACGGG